CCCUGAGCAAAACCAAGUCUCCCAGAUGGAGGACCUUGGCGCUGACCGAGACUGAAUUUCCUGGAGUUGUUCGAGACAAGAUGCUCGAUUCCCUCACGGUGAUUCAUUAUUUCAAGACAACUGAUGUUUACUGCAGGAGCCAGGCUAAACACUGGGGACACAAAGGAAACGCGGCUCCCAUUUCUCUUGGUGUAAACCUCGGAGUCUUCCAAUGGCUCCAAAGGCACCACGUGCCUCGGGCUCUCCCUCCCUCCCUCGCCCCACCCUACUACACUCUGCCUUGCCAUGCUGUUCCUGGCUGUUCCUCGGACACACCAGGCACACGCCUGCCUCGGGGCCUUUCGGGCUGGCUGUCCUCUCUGGCCAAUGCGCUCUCCCUGCAGAAAUCGACAUGACUCAGUCCCUCGCUUCCUUCACAUCUAUGCUCAUCUUCCCAGUGAGUCAUACCCUGGCCGCUCGAUGGAGAACUGCACCCCACUCAAGCCUCUGAGCACUGCCUCCUCUCCCUCCCCGGCUUUCCUGCUGCAGCUUUCCAAAGGCAUGCCUCAAAUUCUACCAUGCUACAUGUCCACUAAUAAUUUCCUCGUUCCCCUCUCUCUUCCCACUCUAAGAGAAGCUCCGGGAGGUCUGGGGCCUUGGCUCUGCUUCCUCCUGCACUGUCCGUGCUUAGAACAGACUCUGGUACGUGUCCAAUAAUAUCUGUUAAAUAGAUGAGUAAGUAAUGCUGACCUGGCCUCAGAAUCUGUUUAAAAGCCUCAAAAUGGCCAUAGGGGCCAGGCGGCCGAUGAAAAUUACCCAAGUCCCAGGACAGAGACACCGGAAGCGUGGGGGCCUCAUUUUUCUGUCCCCACCCUCGAUUUUCCGAAUUUUCACAGAAACCUGGGAGAAUUCACCAAUGGCUCGAUGCAGACUAGGGACAGUCCCCAUCCAGCAUGCGGCAUGGCCAUAACUCACACCAGAGAGCAGCCUCCAGCCUUGGGGCCACCCCUGCCCACUCUGUGUCACGCUGCCGGGUGAACACAGAAAAGCCCUGUAGGGUUUGAGUCACAGAAUCUCCCCCACCCCCACCCACCCCUCCUAUGCCCACUUGGCUUCUCCCUGUUGGCUCCUGCAAGGUAUAGCCAUUCCAAGAACCCUUGGCCCUUCCCUGGCUCGCCGGACCAGGACCGGCAUCCCUGGGCCCCGGGUACCGUCACCUGUAGCCCUGGCUGAAGGCUGUCCCUCCAUGAGCCCCCACACCAGGGGACUUCCGGCCCCACCCGCAAAGGAGAAGGAAGAGGACGGUUCCUAAGAGGUCUCUCAUCCACGACAACACCGUACUUGCGUUCGCCAUCAACUCUCCCCCAGAAGCCUCUUACCGCUUUCAGGAAGAAGAAUGUGUGGCCUUCAGAACCAGCAACGAUUAACCGGGGGCACGGGGAAGGUCGGGGUCACCGAAAGAUUCAGGGGAACUCUAAUUCGGGCUGCAGAGGGGGGCUACUCCGCGUGAUGCAGUCAAUACACAGGAGGCCCGGCGGCCGUCGGAGUCCAGCCUGGUUUGGAGAGAGAGCCCUGCAAGCAGUGACCAGGGGGCCCUGGUCGAUCGUUGGCGCGCUGCCUCCACAAACACAGAAGCCAGAGGGGCCAGGCUGCUAGUUUCGUGGCCACCAGCUCCACGGGCCACGAGUGGACGGAGCGUUCUGCUAGCAGGGGAUCCGGCUCCCAGGAAGGACAGGUGUCCUGUGGAGAGCCGGCGGCUCACGUUUUAGGUGUGCACUCGCUCACUCUUCUGGAUCCCCAGAGAAUCAUCUGGCGACCAUUCCAGCCGGCUGAACUGGUGCCCACAGAGACGACAUCAUCAUCUGGGGACGAACCAUCCCGGCCCAGGAUUCUCAGUUCCCACUCUGAAUUCACGGCCAGCCAACCACAUGAGCACCCACGAGCUGGCUACGUACUUGCACUUUCCGGAGGUCGAAUCCGGGGCCGACGUGAGCUGGAGGGCCCGGGAUGCACACAGACAGGUCAGCCCCCCGCCACCAAAUGGCAAAGGUUGCUCUUCAUACUGUCACUGUCACCACUGCUGCUCACACCGGGCCCUCGGUGCCUCUGUGUCUGGUCAUAAGGCACCUCCCGAGGGGUACUCUAGGUGUGCCUCCACAUUAAUCAUCCCAGGAAGGGGGGUCCCCAACUAGGAGACGCAGGGCUGUCGUGCGGCAUCAGAAACUGACCAUAACACCUAAUAUCGGGGCCUGACGUGCGCCAGGCUUUAGGAGAAGCAGCGGACACCGCGUGCAUUAGUCUAACUAGAGAAGGGAGGAAACUGAGGCCCGGAGCAAUGGACUAACUUGCCCCGGCAUACACCUAGUGAGACCCGGGGCCAGGAUCUGGGGGGCCCGGGCAGUCUGACUCCAGAGUCCACUCCACUAGACUGUCCCCGAAGACGGAACGCAGAACGGCACCAAGACCACCUCGCCCUGACGCUCUUCCCCCGAAGCCUGCCUCUGAGCAGGUGGUGUGGGAGGGUCAGGCUCUGAAGCUGUUUCUGUUUUGAGAGUGAUCAAGAACGGCAUCGUGAGAGCCCGGUGACCCCGCCCCCGGUUCACCCAUCGAGUCACUCGUUCCUGCAGUCAGAGCCCCCGGGCAUGGGCUGCAAGCCCGUGAUGGCACAGGCCCCCUCCGCUCGCAGGGAGCGGGAAGCCCAGCGAGGCCGGCGCUCUCUCCUGCGCACCACCGCAUCUCUGUUGCAGGAACGGACGAAGGAGUGCAAGACGAAGGAAACUCUUCUACAGAAGUGGAGGGUGAGAAAAGGUUCUUUAAAAAAAAAAAACAAAACAACAAAGUACCCAUAGGUAAUGAUGCAUAUCCCGUAAUCUAAUCUAUAUGUUCGUCGUGCAAAAAUAAUGAGAUGUUAGCAGUUUCAGAAUUAGUGUUCUCUUACUCUAUUUCCCUCAACACGAAACCUGAUCUGCUCUGCAUUAGAAUUAUAGCAAGAACUAUCCCCGAGCAGGAACCAUAUGAUUUUUAAUGCACAGACGAAUUUCAAUUCGGCAUUCACCUCGCCAUGCUGGUGUGUUUUAAAUUUAACCCUAAAUUACAGACUUUUCAAAUAACUCCGCUCUUCCCUCUGCUCCUCUCUCUUCAAUUUUGGUUUGGUUUUGCGAAAGGUCUGCUGGUAAAAAUGAAGCAAUACCAGUAACUUAUCUACAAAUUACGGGAAGGAGAAAGUAGGUUAAAAAAGACCAAGAAACUUAAAACAAGCACGAUCAAACCACAUCCGAGUGAGGCAGGAAACGAUAGGAGACCGAUCUUGCUCAGAGGGAAGGAAGGUGAGUCUCACCGGGACUGUUAUCGAGCGAGUCACCGAUGGGGACUCACCUCCACUCCACCCAACUUUCAAGUGCAGUCAUCCGAACGCGACACAGUUCGGUUCUGCACCCAGGCAAAGGCGAUACCCGGAAGCAGAAGGCAGACACUUUCACUUGGGGCUGGCAAUUCCUUCCACGCUCAAAAGAAUCUCAUUUUCAGUUCAGACGCCCACCACGACGAGCCGCUGUGACUCUGUCACAAUGGAGGCAGAAACUUCGUCCCCAAAAAGGGGGCUGGCGGGAGAAAGGACGGGUCUCCCGAAAGCUCCCUCUCAUUGGAGGGCCCAACCGCCGUGGGUAUCCCAGGCUGAGUGGUCGCCAGUAACAUUCUGCAGUUUGCCUCUGCUCAAAUUGCAAACCCCAAGCAUCAAUGCCAGUACCCUGCUGUGACAGCGUGCUGGAGUUCUGGCAAGAUGUGACCACGGGGGGAUAACCAGCGAAAGGGUGUGAUUAUUUCUCGUGGCCGCAGGCCAGUCAAGUGCAAUGAGAAAGCCUGCAAACCCCAGCAGCCCAGAGAUCUCUGUGUCCGUCCCUCCGAACGCCAAGUCCAACUUCGUCACUGAAUGUCUCACACGAAGACACUGUGGGACGAAGUCUGAGCAGCCAUCUUGGGAAAUGGAGACCACACGACAAAAGAAAGCCCAAGGAGACUCAACACGGCCCAAUGUGAUAUGAAUGGAAAUGUCCUAGGAGCGUGCAGCAGGCUGGAUGGGGACCGGGCGAGUCUGAUGGCAAACACAUGCCGACCCGAUGGGGACCGCCUCGGAGAAGCGUGCAGCAGAAACAUGUGUACCAUGGGGACCAGACCUUCUGACUGCUGCAACGCAAUCCCGAGAUGCAGAUUUUUUGUGUGUGAAACUUCCUAACUGUUAACGUUGGUCACUCGUAGAAUUCUCUGUUAAAUACCGCGAACACCAAACCAAACGGCUCUGAGGGCCAGGCUGCAACCUGCCGGGUACCUCAUGGACACUUCAGCUGGUGUGUUUUAAAUUUAACCCUAAAUUACAGACUUUUCCUCCCCAUCCCCACCAAGAGCCCUCCGGAGUAGGACGCGCCCUCUCCGUUUCCUAGGUGGGGGGGAGGGAGGACGAUGCGCCUGAGGGGGCCCGCUGGCUGGCGGUCAUCGGCAGCUCUGCCCUCGAGGCCCUGCGACUCUGCUGGGUCAGCACUCCACCCCUCGCAUUCGGUCAGCAGCAGGGAGUUUCAGAAAGUUGGAAAGAAAACUGUCCGGCUCCACGAACACCAGGUCGUCUCCACGUUGCCCCGCCUGAAGUGUCGUGGCACGGGCCCCUAAGGGAGGCUGUCCUGUCCAAUACUCGUCACUCCUGUCCCUCUAGGUUACAUCCCCUCGCCAAAAACUACUCCUUCCCUUUAGAGCACGUGUGAAACUCGAGACAGUACAUUUGUUUGUAUAUUUAUUUGAGCAACAUCUGUCACUCCUACUAGACUAUAAAGCUCCAAAAAGACAGAAACCGUUACGAUUUUGUACAUCCCCAGAGCCAGCACGAUGCCUGUUCCAAAGAAAGGGCUUAAUAAAUACUUUCUGAAUGAAUCAAAGAAGGGACAGACCAGACAGGGGCCAUGAAAGGGCCCCAUUCAAUUCGGCUGAACUAAUGCCACCACUGACAAGGACAGAGUGUCUGGGAACCUUUUCAAAGGCUCUAAGACUCCCUUCAACAGCAAAAGGGCCCGGCCAAGCCGUCGUAGGCCAGAAAAACCAGAAGGGCAGGGACCCCUGUCACUGCGCUCCAGGCAGGUCUGGCCUCCCACGCUACGGGAUCCCCCGCCACCUGCUUCCUCAGAUAUGGCAACAGAGCCGACUGCCCAAGGGCAAGCCUAGCCCUUGGACCUGUCUACCCACUGCCUGAGAAACCGGUUGCAGGGACAGAGUCCUCAUGAAACAGCCUUUGUGUGAAACACCGGCUCAUCUCAGACACAUCCGCCGGGCCCAAGCUGCAGCGGAUACAGUGAGACAAGUCGCCUGCCGCGGCUGGGAACGAGGAGCCAGGGCCUCCCAGGCCAUAGGUAUGGUGAAGGUACAGGUGUGCGGGCAGAACCUCGGGGCCUGCAGGGGAAAAGGCAAGCUGGACCAGUACUAAGGAAGCCUGGCGCUCAGCACACAUGACGAUGGUGGGAGGGAAGACAGACGAGAUACACAAGGGCCAAGAGGGAAGAAGCCUUGACUCCCGUCUCCCUGUCUCGGGAGUUUCCCGUUAGCAGAGCACAAAAUGCAGAUGUGCUGUGCUUAGGCCACAGGUGGGUGAUCGUUUAAAACGGGGGAGCAUGUGCAUCAAAAUGAGGAUUUCCAGCUUGUCUGGUAACGCGAGGAAACCAGGCAAUCCCGCAUCCGUGUCCUGGCAGAGCCGCAGGCUGGGGAGGAACCGCAGCUACUGACAGAGAGCAUGUGCUGUCCAAUUUGCCACAGGCCCCACCACUCCCUACUGCCCUCCCACGGGGGUCCACGUCAUUCACAGAUGUUCUCCGUCCAGUCUCUGCUGGCAUUUGUACCUUCGUCAAGGUGUGCUCUCAUUCUGUCCCAGUAACAGUGUCUCACAGAUUCGCAACCAGGGCCCAGAGCAGUACAACUCCCCGUUCAAUAACAUCCGAUCAAUCAAAUCCGCUCAGUACCCAAACCCAGAUGUUCCUGGGGACACAUUUCAAGACGCCGAUCGGGUUCCUCGCGUCUCAGACCAGCUUAUACGCCACCGUGGCUGCCAUACGGGCAGAAUGUCAGUUUCCGGUUUUAGAGAAACACACGCAUGAACAAAACGAGCAACGGCCUAUCAAUGUCUACACACGGUCCCAACGCUAAGGACUUACGCAACUUCGCUGAACAUCCUGUUCGCUCUUAGCGUACAUCUCAGACAGAUCACCGUUCAGAAUGACUUCCGCUAGUGAGUUCACCAGGGGUGCGUGAUGUAUAAUUAGGAAGACCUGGUGAGAAAGAAGACACCGGGUUUGCGUUAAAGCGUGUGCUCUCUCCGCUUCUCCUUCCUCCAUCACAAAUGACCAGGCUGAGGUACCCAGGGCCCGUACUGAACAGCAACUCCCGUGAAGCAAAAUCCAAAGAAUGGGUCUCAUUUAGGAGAAACCGGUUACGCCUUUCUCCUCCCAGGGUUGGCCGCUCCUUCAUUCAGACUGUUGCCUACUUGGCUGGCUGCUCCCCGGCGGAAGGAAGUGCAUCAAAGCAAGACGGUCCCUCGUGGCCGGGGGAGGCCAAAUCCCCCUGAAGUGGAGCAAAGUGGGAGAGCAGCGGCCAAAGCAGCACACUCCUUCCUCUCCACAGGCAUCUCAGCGUCGAAUCUGAUUACGCUAAGACUGGAAGGCACAGACCCAACAUCUCAGUUAUACGGGAGGAAGGGGCCGGCGAGUCUCGUUCCCGUCCAGGACUUGGCAAACCGUCGUCUCCACAGAAAGCCCACGGCUGGAAUGAGCUGGGGCCCCCGCGGUGGGUCUCAGCGCACCAAGAUUCCGUGGCAGUGUCGGGAGGUGUGGACGCUGUGGGGAAGAGAAGCCACAGGAGCCAGAGGCAGACCCAGCCGGGCCAGCAUGUGGAAUGAGAAGGCACUGGGCUGUCUGGGAUGGCCCUGCCACCGCAGCCCGUGGCCCAACGUUCAGGACAACGGCGCUGGGAAUCAGGGUAU